rnacentral:misc_RNA from 1 species
GGAUCAUUAUCGUCGGGGGCUUCGGCCCCGUCGAGAUAGCACCCUUGUCCUCCUCGGCGCACUUGUAUCGUUUCCUCGGGCUGGUCCCCAGCCCGAACGGACCCCAACCAAACCCUUUUUGCAGUGCCUGUCUCAGUCUGAUCGUAAACAAAAUCGUUAACAACUUUCAACAAUGGAUCUCUUGGUUCUGGCAUCGAUGAAGAACGCAGCGAAAUGCGAUAAGUAGUGUGAAUUGCAGAAUUCAGUGAAUCAUCGAAUCUUUGAACGCACAUUGCGCCCUUUGGUAUUCCUUAGGGCAUGCUUGUUCGAGCGUCAUUCUCACCCCUCCAAGCCCCGCUUGGCUGUUGGGCGCCUUGUCCCGCCUCCCGCGCGCGGACUCGCCCCAAAUGCACCGGCGGCCGCCCCCAACGAGCCUGAGCGCAGCAGAAACGCGCCUCUAGGCGGCAGGGCGCGGCAGGCCCCCGCGAAACGGAAAAUGACCCCCCUCGAAGGACCUCGAAUCAAGCAGGAGUACCCGCUGAACUUAAGCAUAUCAAUAAGCGGAGGACAAGAAAUCAACAGAGAUUGCCUCAGUAACGGCGAGUGAAGCGGCAACAGCUCAAAUUUGAAAUCUGGCUCCCUUGGGGGUCCGAGUUGUAAUUUGCAGAGGGUGCUUUGGCAUCGGCUGCGGUCUAAGUUCCUUGGAACAGGACGUCGCAGAGGGUGAGAAUCCCGUACGUGGCCGCCAGCCUUUGCCGUGUAAAGCCCCUUCGAAGAGUCGAGUUGUUUGGGAAUGCAGCUCUAAACAGGAGGUAAAUUCCUUCCAAAGCUAAAUACCGGCCAGAGACCGAUAGCGCACAAGUAGAGUGAUCGAAAGAUGAAAAGCACUUUGGAAAGAGAGUCAAAAAGCACGUGAAAUUGUUGAAAGGGAAGCGCUUGCAGCCAGACGCGCCUGCGGUCGUUCAUCCGGGCUUCUGCCCGGUGCACUCCCCCGCAGGUGGGCCAGCGUCAGCUUGGGUGGCCGGAUAAAAGCCCGCUAAACGUACCUCCCCCGGGAGGACUUAUAGGGCGGGUGGCAUACGGUCAGCCUGGG